AAACACACAUUGCUCUUAUGGCGAACGGUCAGGUUUUAUCAUCCAAAGCUGUGUUCCACAGGACAUAUUGUUUUGUGUGAGAUCAAACGAUAUCUCCAAGGAGAUAUCGUUUUGACAGUAGAUUUUAUACAAUGCCCUG